rnacentral:rRNA from 1 species
GGGUCAGUAGGUUGGUCGUGCCACCGGUACGUACUGGUCUCACUGAUUCCUCCUUCCUGAAGAACCGUAAUGCCAUUAAUUUGGUGUUGCGGGGAAACAGGGCUGUUACUUUGAAAAAAUUAGAGUGUUUAAAGCAGGCUAACGCUUGAAUACAUUAGCAUGGAAUAAUGAAAUAGGACGAUCGAUCCUAUUUUGUUGGUUUCUAGGAUUGACGUG